GAUGAACGCUGGCGGCGUGCCUAAUACAUGCAAGUCGAGCGAACAGACGAGGAGCUUGCUCCUCUGACGUUAGCGGCGGACGGGUGAGUAACACGUGGAUAACCUACCUAUAAGACUGGGAUAACUUCGGGAAACCGGAGCUAAUACCGGAUAAUAUAUUGAACCGCAUGGUUCAAUAGUGAAAGACGGUUUUGCUGUCACUUAUAGAUGGAUCCGCGCCGCAUUAGCUAGUUGGUAAGGUAACGGCUUACCAAGGCAACGAUGCGUAGCCGACCUGAGAGGGUGAUCGGCCACCCUGGAACUGAGCCACGGUCCAGACUCCUACGGGAGGCAGCAGUAGGGAAUCUUCCGCAAUGGGCGAAAGCCUGACGGAGCAACGCCGCGUGAGUGAUGAAGGUCUUCGGAUCGUAAAACUCUGUUAUUAGGGAAGAACAAAUGUGUAAGUAACUAUGCACGUCCUGACGGUACCUAAUCAGAAAGCCACGGCUAACUACGUG
rnacentral:rRNA from 1 species